UACGUAGGGUGCGAGCGUUGCCCGGAUUUAUUGGGCGUAAAGGGCGCGUAGGCGGUUUGUCGCGUCUGCCGUGAAAGUCCGGGGCUCAACUCCCGGAUCUGCGGUGGGUACGGGCAGACUAGAGUGAUGUAGGGGAGACUGGAAUUCCUGGUGUAGCGGUGAAAUGCGCAGAUAUCAGGAGGAACACCGAUGGCGAAGGCAGGUCUCUGGGCAUUAACUGACGCUGAGGAGCGAAAGCAUGGGGAGCGAACAGG
rnacentral:rRNA from 1 species